AUUGAACGCUGGCGGCAGGCCUAACACAUGCAAGUCGAACGGUAACAGGAAACAGCUUGCUGUUUCGCUGACGAGUGGCGGACGGGUGAGUAAUGUCUGGGAAACUGCCUGAUGGAGGGGGAUAACUACUGGAAACGGUAGCUAAUACCGCAUAACGUCGCAAGACCAAAGAGGGGGACCUUCGGGCCUCUUGCCAUCGGAUGUGCCCAGAUGGGAUUAGCUAGUAGGUGGGGUAACGGCUCACCUAGGCGACGACCCCUAGCUGGUCUGAGAGGAUGACCAGCCACACUGGAACUGAGACACGGUCCAGACUCCUACGGGAGGCAGCAGUGGGGAAUAUUGCACAAUGGGCGCAAGCCUGAUGCAGCCAUGCCGCGUGUAUGAAGAAGGCCUUCGGGUUGUAAAGUACUUUCAGCGGGGAUGAAGGGAGUAAAGUUAAUACCUUUGCUCAUUGACGUUACCCGCAGAAGAAGCACCGGCUAACUCCGUG
rnacentral:rRNA from 1 species